rfam:Desulfuromonadales bacterium C00003068 5datasets_contig_497422, whole genome shotgun sequence.
GCGCCAGUAGCUCAGCUGGAUAGAGCAUGUGACUUCUAAUCACAGGGUCGAGGGUUCGAGUCCUUCCUGGCGCG